rnacentral:rRNA from 1 species
CGACAAGAGGUACCUUAAUUUUAAGGUGGCACAUAAUCGGAGGCCCCGACUGUUUACUAAAAACACAACACAGUGCAAUCAUAAAUAUGGUAGUAUACUGUGUGAAAUUUGCCCGAUGCCAUUAAUAUAAGAAAAGUUAUGGAUUUAUAUUUUUUUAUAAUACUGUGACUAAUCGAAAAUCUGGUUAAUAGCGGUCUUAACUAUGAGGAUCCUAAGGUAGCAAAAUCAGUUGGCCAUUAAAUGUGGUCCGGUAUCAAUAAUGUAACGAUGGUCUCACUGUCUCUACAACUUGCUCAGUGAAAUUGAAUUACGCGUGCAGAUGCGCGUUGCCUCCAGGGGGACGGGAAGACCCUAUGCAGCUUCUA